rnacentral:rRNA from 1 species
UACAGAGGUCUCAAGCGUUGUUCGGAUUCAUUGGGCGUAAAGGGUGCGUAGGCGGCGCGGUAAGUCGGGUGUGAAAUCUCGGAGCUUAACUCCGAAACUGCAUUCGAUACUGCCGUGCUUGAGGACUGGAGAGGAGACUGGAAUUUACGGUGUAGCGGUGAAAUGCGUAGAUAUCGUAAGGAAGACCAGUGGCGAAGGCGGGUCUCUGGACAGUUCCUGACGCUGAGGCAGCGAAGGUCAGGGGAGCAAACGGG